UGUCUUUCCUGCGCAGCUACGUAUGAUAGUUCAACUUCGGGAAUAAGACCAUUGUACUGAGUUUUGGGCCCAAUUGACUAGAUGAGUGGGCUUUUAGAAUUAGGGUUUGCUCACAAACUAUAAAUAGCACAUCUAUUGGAAAACUAGGGAAUGAACUCAUUCAAGCAACACACUUGUAAUAUGUAACUCUCUCUCAAAGUAUAGUGAAACCAACGAAGAACCUCUCGUGGACGUAGGUCUUGAUGGCCGAACCACGUAAAUCCGUGUGUCAUUUAUCGCUUUCUAAUUUCUAGUUUAGGUGUUGGUGAUUCCGUGCUUCACCAACUGGCGCCGUCUGUGGGAAAAUCGAGCUAAGGCGUGAGAUUCAUUGUUUUUCGGGUACCGUUCAUCGAUGGAUUACUGUUCAUGGCAGCUGGAUUACUGUUCAUCGGAAAAAAGGGGGAAAAUUGGGAAAUUAAGAUUAUUGUUCAUCAUUUGUCAUGGUUACUGUUCAUAACAAGAAAAAACGUGGAAGGAUUCCCAGAUCUGUGGGGGGCCGUCUCUAAUCCGGUGGAAUUCUGUUAUUUCCGAUACGGGAACAACGGUUCUUCUCUUUUUGGGCAUCGUCCUCCAAAUUUUCAGACCUGGAACUCCUGAGUUUAUCGUGAAUCUGGUCGAUUCCCUCCACCGAGAAUGAAUCUCAGCCAGCGGAUCGCCACUCCUCCGUAGCCAGCGAAUCGCCAUUCGUCCGCAGUCGGGGAAUUGCCGCCCUCCUCCGGCCGGGCAUGGGAGAUGCUCUCCAUAGCGGUCGAGGAUCUGUUGCCCGAUCUCGCCACCGCCGAUUCAGUCAUUCUCUUCGAAUCGGGACAAAGCGCUGCCGUUCAGGCCUCCGUGAAAGCACGGGACCGCGCGCCGCUACCGCGCACGAACCACACAUCACCACCGCGCAGACACCGUUGCCGCACAAAAGUCACCACCGCCGCGCCGAGCUCUCAUCCUCUGAGCCGAUCAUUAGCUCGUGGACCAGGGGCAGAGGGGAAAACCCCCAAUUUUUUCUUAAAUAAAUAUGCAUUUUCCAGCGAUUUCGAACAAAUAAUGGCAAAUCCUGAUGAUUCUUCGUGUUUUCUUGUGUUUUCCCAGCAAAUCACUGGUGGAGAUUCAAUUUGCGGGGAUCAUUACCCGCUUCAUCGGCGUUUGAGGGCUGCAAGAUCUACGCCUUUUGAGAAUUAAGGGAAUCGCCGAAAUCCGGUGCUCUGUCGCCGUUUCAGAAGAACAACAAUCCAGUUCAAGAAAUGGCGUACUCAGCCACAAUCAAGGAAUUUUCAGAAAACAAAUCACCCGUAAAUUUUGGCAAUCAAACUCCGGCAAGCACCGCCACCUUCUCUGAACUCCAUGCGAGAAAUUCCCCCCAAAUUCGUCCUGUUUCCGGCUUCGACGAACAGCUAUCCUACCAGAACCCCGCACCGUCAUUCUCUGCCAAGAUAUGGCAAACAACGUCGCCGCUAUGAUUUGCCUGCCUGAACUCCAACAACUUGCAGCCCGCCUCCGCCUAUACCACUGUCGCCGUGUAGGAGCCGCGCACGACGGGCACUUCUCUGCUCUGACGGGCGGGCACUCCUCUGCCACAGCGGGAACUUCACUCCUCUGCCACAGCGGGAACUUCAUUUCUCUGCCAGCGGGAACUUCUCUUCUCUGACGGGCGGAAACUUCUCUGCUCUGACGGGCGGGCACUCCUCUGCCACAGCGGGAACUUCAUUUCUCUGCCACAGCGGGAACUCCUCUGCUCAGAGCAGCCCUCAAUCAGCUAUUCAGGGACGCCGUUCAAUUUGGUAAAGAUUCAGAUCAGGAACGAACAUUGCGAAGCUAAGUUUCUCAUCUCUUUUCGCUGUGAUUGAUUUUCUGAUGAGUCAAUUGCUUGUCUUCUAUUGAUUAUUUAGUCGAUUGUUGAUUUAAUCGAUGGGAGAUUGAACAUUAGGCGGUUAUUCUAAAGGUUUCGUUCUUGAAAUUUUGCUUGAUGCUCAACCUUUCUAUGCUUUGAUGGGGGGUCUGGAUUUGACAGCAGAAAUUUAAUCUCUUUUUUUAAUCAGUUAGGGAUAUAUGAAAAUCAAAGAUGUAUAUGCGAUUAUUCUCUUAUUGCAGUUGCUCUUUCUUUGGAAAAUGCUUAUAUGUGGGCAUAUGAAAUGCGAUUAUUGAUGUUUUUCUCAUGAAUUAAACUAUUCCUUGUCUCAUAAGAAAACUUCUUUUUGUGAAUGCCUAUUGGUGUGGAGUAAGGGCUCUGUUGAAAUACGAAAAGAAUUUCAAUGUGUAUUCUGAUGUUGGUCUAAAGAUUGAGGAUAUUUUGAUAUUUGGAUAUUCUUUGGUAUUUUAAUAUCAUUAGCUUAGAUUUAUUGCUGUUUUGAAUUAUGGAAUUGAACAUUACAAUUGUUGGGAUAGGACCGUGGAGAUAUAUGUCUUUAUGUGCAUAAACGAGUUAUUAUGGGGCAUUUAAAUUAACUCCUUAUAAUUUGGUUUUGAUGUUCGUGGGGCCUUAUCUGAAUUUUGGUGAUUGAAUUUGAGUUUAUUGGUUGGUUAUGAUGAUUUACAUCUUGCGAUAGUACUAUGAUUUUGCUUUGGUUUUGGGAUUGAUUUUGUGGGAUUAGGACCAUCAAGACUAAUCAAUUACUCUAAUGUUUUAGAACACAGGAAGUACAUGAAUUAUAAUAAAUUAUUCCAACACCUGAGUCUUAGGAAGCUCGCCUGCUAUUACGGAGUAAUUUCUUAUUUUCAGGGCAUGAAGUUCUUGGGGUAUCAAGCUCGCUGCAGCGCUGAUGCAACGUCAGGAGGGAGAGGGUACUUUAUCUGCGCUAAGACAGUGCGCUGAUGCAGAGCAAGGAGGGAGAAGGGUAGUUCAUCAGCUCGCCGAAGCAGCGCAGGGAGGGAGAGGGUAGUUCAUUUCGCUUGCAGCGCUGCAUCAAAAAUAUUGCAUUGUUUUUAGGGAAUUUUUGGAUCCGAAGGGCAACGUAGCUGCUUUGGGUGAACGGGCCUGCGCAGGACUUUUUUUUGACGCUAGGGGAUUUCAGCCCCGCACAGGGUUCUCUCAACACAACGGGAUUCCAGCUCUGCCGUUUCAAAAAUCCUGAUAUUUCAGGAUUAAUUUUGCUUUAAUUGGGGAUUGCAUCUGCUGAUUUUGGGGUUAUCCAUGUCUCGUUUUUUAGACUGACUUUGCUCUACUUUUCUUUACAAAUUCAGGGCUGCGCAGGGCAUUUCUCGUGGAGGGAGCGCAACGUUUUUCAGGGAAUCUAUUGGAAAUGCUGUCUUCUUUAACACUCAUGAGAUCAUGCGAAGAAAGAUACAACAGCAAAGGAAAAGGAGGAAUUAGUGGAAUAGCAAGAUGAAGUAAAAUUAUUAAGCUGCGCAGGAAUGAAAGCAAGAAGAGUUACUAAAGUUGCGCUGCAUAAUUUUCUAAGCGGUGCUUUGGGAUAUCUAAGCUGGUCUUCAACACAGGAACUCUACAUCCCAGCACAGAAUGUCUAAGCCGUAAUGUAACAAAGAAAAUGAGCUUUAGUGGCAAUUCAGCCACGCUUCGGAGGGGAAAGCCUCAAGUAGAAUUUGGGUCUUCUCAGUGUAGUCAGGAUAUUUAUCUCAGCUACCUCUGCGCAGUUAUCUCAGCGCAG